GAUGAACGCUGGCGGCGUGCCUAAUACAUGCAAGUCGAGCGAACGGACGAGACGCUUGCUUCUCUGAUGUUAGCGGCGGACGGGUGAGUAACACGUGGAUAACCUACCUAUAAGACUGGGAUAACUUCGGGAAACCGGCGCUAAUACCGGAUAAUAUUUUGAACCGUAUGGUUCAAAAGUGAAAGACGGUCUUUCUGUCACUUAUAGAUGGAUCCGCGCUGCAUUAGCUAGUUGGUAAGGUAACGGCUUAUCAAGGCAACGAUGCAUAGCCGACCUGAGAGGGGGGUCGGCCACACGAGAGCGGAGACGCGGUCCAGACUCCUACGAGACGCAGCAGUAGCGAAUCGUCCGCAGUAGGCGAAAGCCUGACGGAACAGCGCCACGUGAGUGAUAGAAGUCUUCGGAGCGUAAAACUCUGUUAUUAGGGAAAAACAUAUGUGUAAGUAACUGAGCACAUCUUGACGGUACCUAGUAAGAAAGCCACGGCUAACUACGUG
rnacentral:rRNA from 1 species